UACGUAGGGCGCAAGCGUUAUCCGGAAUUAUUGGGCGUAAAGAGCUCGUAGGCGGUUUGUCGCGUCUGCCGUGAAAGUCCGGGGCUCAACUCCGGAUCUGCGGUGGGUACGGGCAGACUAGAGUGAUGUAGGGGAGACUGGAAUUCCUGGUGUAGCGGUGAAAUGCGUAGAUAUCGUGAGGAAGACCAGUGGCGAAGGCGGCGCCUGGGCCAAUAUUGACGCUGAGGUGCGAAAGCGUGGGGAGCAAACAGG
rnacentral:rRNA from 1 species